rnacentral:rRNA from 1 species
UACGGAGGGUGCAAGCGUUAUCCGGAUUCACUGGGUUUAAAGGGUGCGUAGGCGGGCAGGUAAGUCAGUGGUGAAAUCUCCGAGCUUAACUCGGAAACUGCCGUUGAUACUAUUGUCUUGAAUAUUGUGGAGGUAAGCGGAAUAUGUCAUGUAGCGGUGAAAUGCUUAGAUAUGACAUAGAACACCAAUUGCGAAGGCAGCUUACUACACAACGAUUGACGCUGAGGCACGAAAGCGUGGGGAUCAAACAGG